rnacentral:rRNA from 1 species
GGAGGGGGCAAGCGUUAUUCGGAUUUACUGGGCGUAAAGCGCACGUAGGUGGCAUGGUAAGUCAAAGGUGAAAGCCCUCGGCUCAACCGAGGAACUGCCUUUGAAACUGCCUUGCUUGAGUCCGGGAGGGGGGAGCGGAAUUCCCAGUGUAGCGGUGAAAUGCGUAGAUACUGGGAGGAACACCGGUGGCGAAGGCGGCUCCCUGGACCGGUACUGACACUGAGGUGCGAAAGCGUGGGUAGCAAACAGGAUUAGAUACCCUGGGUAGUCCACGCCGUAAACGAUGGGCACUAGGUGCAGCGGGUGUCGACCCCCCUGCUGUGCCGUAGUUAACCGCAUUAAGUGCCCCGCCUGGGGAGUACGGUCGCAAGGCUG